rnacentral:rRNA from 1 species
AAUUAACGCUGGCAGAAUGCAUAACACAUGCAAGUCGAGCGGGGUGGCGGAUUAUCGCGCCUAGCGGCAAACGAGUGAGUAACACGUAAGCAACCUGCCCUUGAAUGGCGAACAACCCUCCGAAAGGAGAGCUAAUACGCCGUAUAAUCCUCUGAAGGCAUCUUCGGAGGCUGAUAGGCCCGCAAGGGUCAUUCAAGGAGGGGCUUGCGUCCCAUCAGCUAGUUGGCGGUGUAACGGACCACCAAGGCUAUGACGGGUACCCGGCCUGAAAGGGCGGACGGGCACGAAGGCACUGAGACACGGGCCUUACUCCUACGGGAGGCAGCAGUGGGGAAUUUUGGACAAUGGGCGAAAGCCUGAUCCAGCAAUUCUGCGUGAGGGACGAAGCCC